GUCUAUGGCCAUACCUCCCUGAAUGCGCCUGAUCUCAUCUGAUCUUGGAAGCUAAGCAGGGUUGGGCUUGGUUAGUACUUGGAUGCAAGAAGUCCAGGAGUGGUACAGAUA
rnacentral:rRNA from 1 species